ACUUAACUGGGGUCAAAUUGACUCUAGUAGGGAGUCCCUGCAUUCAAUAUGGCGACUUCCUAAUAGAGUCAGGCUGACUCCUUUUAAGACGUUCAACGGA